rnacentral:lncRNA from 1 species
UACUAAGUCAUAAUGUUAAUGUUUUGUCUUGCUCAAAAGCAUGUAUUUUUAAUAAGCAUAAUAAUAAUAAUAAAAGCCAAUACAAGGUUUAUGCUACUGAAUUCACUUCUUUGUGUAGAAAAGUGUUCCAUAAUGCCCUACUCAGAAGUCUUUUCAGACACAAAGAUAGAAAAGAGGCAUUUUUUCUUUCAGUUAAAAAAAAAUCAUUAAUAUAUUCAAGGUUUAACUUUCCCUUUUACAAGUGUUUCUGUGUAUACCAUAUGGCACCAGUUAGAUUUGAAGGUUUUCAUUUGCUUUUUAAAAAUCUGAGUGAGGUUUCCUUUCAUAAGCUCAUACAUACUGGUUAUUUUUUAAUAAGCAUAAAACUUCUACAUAACACCAAAUGCAUGAUUUAACAGGAAGGAAUGAAAAAUACAUGGCGAUAUAAUAAUUGGCUCAUUUAGUUAAGAGCUGCUUUGAAGCUUAAUAGUAAAGGAUAAGCAGUCAUUAGCUUAUUAGCUCAAGUUGGACUCGGUACUUAUUUUUUUAAAUAAGUGUUGGAAUACAUAUCUUGACAAAUCGUAAAAUGCCUCUCUUGCUUUCAGUGCCCCCUCCUACUUCUGUAUUCACAAAGAGGAGUGAGCUUGUUCCUGCCAACUGAGUCAGUUGGGAUGGAAACGUUAAUGUAUCUGAGCAGAUGUGUGUCAACAUCACUCUGCAAAAAAAAGGUUGUCUGUACCCUGCAUUGGCACAACAUCCUAAAAUAAAAGCCACUGAGAUUCUUUACCUCCAUUAGAAUUCUCCUAUAAAAUUACAGUUGAAGACUGUAAUAUAGAAGAUUCAAAGAUUUAAAUCUACUUGCUGAAAUCAUUCAUUAAGUGGCCCUGCUAACUGUUUUGAAGGAAAGAGUCUUCAAAAGAAGAUAUUAUCACAUCUCUCUUUAGGAAAUAUGAGUAGGAACUAUACUAAUUAAUAAGCUAGUCUUUCUUGAGCCUUAUUAUAUUCUUGAUAAAGGAACUAGUGUGAUAACCUACCAUUGAUUGAGGCAUCUAGGUAAAUUGUUUCCUUAGUUUGAAGGGUCUAUUUUUUUUCUCUGCUAUGUUUUUUCAUUCAGCUUAUGUUAAUAACUAAAAUGAGUCUUCUUGGAGUUCCCAUUGUGGCUCAAUGGUAACAAACCUGACUAAUAUCCAUUAGGACACAGGUUCGAUUUGUGGCCUUGCUCAGUGGGUUAAGAAUCUGACCUUGCCCUGAGCUGUGUUGUAGGUUGCAGAAGCAGCUUGGAUCUGGUGUUGCUGUGACUGUGGCACAGGCUGGCAGCUGCAGCUCCAAUUCAACCCCUAGCCUGGGAACUUCCAUACUCUGUGGGUGUGGCACUAAAAAGACAAAAAUAAAUAAAUAAACAAAUAAAUAAAUAAAUGGAGUCUUCUUGCCCAUGGAAAAAAUUAUGUCUGUUUUUCUCCUACACAUUUUUUUUCCAGUAAAAUUAAUGGAGUGAGAUUGUAUCUAAACACAAUGAGAACAUUAGAAAAUGAAGAUAAUGAAAUGUUAAAGGCAAAACAAUUGAGUUCCUCAGUAAUGGCACAGAAUUCCAUAGGGAGUUACAUAAUUCUAAAGCUGAUAUUUAUUUAUUUAUUUAUUUAUUUUUGGUUUUUUUUUUUGUCUUUUUAGAGUCGCAUAUGGAGGUUCCCAGGCUAGGGGUCUAAUUGGAGCUGUUGCUGCUGGCCUACACCAGAGCCACAGCAACACCAGAUCCCAGCUGUGUCUGUGACCUAUACCACAGCUCACGGCAUCACUAGAUCCUUAACCCACCGAGGGAGGCCAGGAAUCAAACCUGCAACCUCAUGGUUCCUAGUCAGAUUUGUUUCCUGCACCACGAUGGGAACUAAAGCUGAUAUUUAAAAGGAUAAAUGGCACAUACACUGUUCACCUGACUUUUAUAACUUUAUCUACCUGUAUAUCCAGUAAAUAUUAAUUGAGCACAUACUAUUUGCUAUGCAUCAUCUGAAAUUCUUAUGAUUGUCAUGAAAGCAGCAAUUCAUAUUCUCAAGAAACUAAGAGUCCAUGCAGAAAGGAGACAGGUACAAUUAUACAAAUUAUAAUAGAGAUAGAUACACAAUGUUAUAGCAGCAAAUAACAAAAUUAUUCAAAAGAUAACACUUCAGUGGACUUUUGAAAAAUUAGUAAGAGUUAUCCUGGUAGAGACAGGAGGGAAGAUGGGAGAAACAUGAAGGUAGCAAAAGUGAAUGUUACAAAUAAGGAAAAGGUGGUAGCUGAUAUGGCUUGAAUGUCAGUGUGGUGGAUUAUUGUGAAAGGAAGUUAGAUGGAAGAGGCAGAUAAUUGAAGGCUUUACAUAUCAUCUUUAAAUGUCUGGUCUUUAUUCAACCAACAGGGAAGCGCUAGAGGGUGUUAAGCAUAGGAGUGACAAAAUUAGAUGACAGCAGGGUAGAGGGUAGGUCAACUGGAAUGUGAGAAUUUAAAGGAAGCCUGUGUAGUAAUUAAGGUAAAAAAUAAAAGGAACUUGAAGUAACCAAAUAACCAUUGGCAGUGGAGAUAAAAAGAGAAGAUAGAAGAAGAAAGGAGAGGAAAUAGUGACUAGAUGUCCAGUAGGGAGGUUUUCUAAUUACCUCCUAUUCUGGCUUCGGGGAUUGAUUAGUGAUGGCACUAAUCUCCAAAUUGGGGAAAAUAGGGAGGAUCAUGUUUAUAAGAUUAUAAUAGAGAGGAGCUUUACAACAUACUUCUACAGCAGAUAGUACAGCUAUUUAGUAGAUAUUUGAGUAGAUGAUAUGUCUUUAAGGAAGAAGUCAGAACUUUGGGAGAAUUUUUAACAUUUAAACAGUGAAGGCAAUUCAAGAAUGCCUAUCAGAACUCCCAAGAAGAGUGUGUAGUGAGAAGGAAGAAGGGCCAAGGGCAUGCUGCUUGGAACACCGAUAUUUAAAGGUAAAGUCAGCAAACUAAAAGCAUCAAGGCACAAGAGAGAGGAAAGCAAAGGAUGUGGAGAAAACAUGUAGAAAGAGUGGCCUUUGGGGAGUUGAGAUGGGUAGAAAUUCAAGACAGAAAGACUGACUCACUGCAUUAAAUAUCUAGACAGGUUUAAUAAUCUAUGACCCAUAUUAACUAUGUCAUUUAUGACUUUGGGGAGAAGGGUGUCAGUGGGUAGGAGGAGCAAAAAUCAACCUAUACUUCAUCAAAAUGUGAUUAGGAAGUUUCAGAAGAUCAAAAGAGUGUAUUUUUAAAAAAUAAAGUUGGCAUAUUGGAUAAUAAAAUAUAACCACAGAAUUUUUCUACUCUUCCUAAAAUGAGAGCAGAUACCAGCCAUUCUAUAGGAAUUCCCAGGAAAAGAGAUACCCUUUUGCUCAACUCAUUAAAACAUUUAUUUGAAAAAAAAGGAGAGAAAAACUUAUAUUAAUACUAAUAAAAUGAAAAGCAAAAUAACUUGGCGAGGAAAGGAGGAGGAAGUCAGAUAAAAAGGAGAUCAAUGAGUGUUAGAGAUAGAACCAAGAUGGUUGAGUUUAAUAUUUCAGAAGUAAAUAUGUUCUAUUUGGAGUAAAAGUCUAAGACAUGGCUAUGGGUACAAGGUGACAAAAUUGGAACAGUAAAAAUGAUAUUUGAGGUGAAAAGGUACAGAAUUGUGACAUAAAAGUGGUAGUCUUGCAAUAUUUUUAGAGUCUCCAGAAAUGGUGGGGAGAGCUCUACGUUAGGAAACCUUGAUUCCAAUACUAAAGUCAUCAAAGUUUGUGGGAAGCCAACAAUAAAGUUAAACAAAUGAUGUUAAUAAGAAAUAGUUUCAUCUGAAAGCAAAAAGGAUCAUGAAAAUUGGGGAUUUAGAAAACGGUUGGCCCUGAUUCCCUGGCCAAAGAUGUGCAUGAUGUGAAUAAAGAGCAGCUUCCACUAAAAAGGGCUGAAAUAGGGGCCAGAAUUUAGUGUUAGAGCCACAUUUUGGUAAGUACUAGAAAAAGAAGUCUUAUGAUGUGUAUUUGUUAAAAAUAAAUGGUGAUCUCGGAGGAUACCGAGAUCAAGUGUCAAAACAAGCAAAUGGACCUGCCUUUUAAAGUGAGUCUAUCUCUGUCCAGUAAAAUGCUUUUGGUCAUUGUUGCUUACUCUCACGUCAAGGGAGCUAGUGUUCCUCUCAUUCUGCUAAUAUGUGCUGAGCACUUAUUAAUCACUCUUGAGUGAUUCUUAGGUAAAUUGAAUAAUCUAAAAUUUAGUCCCUGAUGUUCUUGACUCAUAUUUUUGACUCUCAGAGCUUAGGGGUCCAGGUGGCCUUGUUCACCCUAUUAUCCAUUAAGAACUCACAGGUAGGCUGCCUUCCCUCUGAGGUACAUUAUUUUUAAAAUGUUAUUGCUAAUAGUAACAAUCAAAUUUAUUCUGAGACUUGAUAGAAUUCAAUUAUAUGCUGACAUUGUAGUUAGCAAAUUAAAAGAAAUUCUUAUUGAAAUCAUUAUUAACCAAUUAAUAUGAUUGAGUUUAAUGGUAUGUUGAGCCCCUUAUUCUACAGAUGAAAUCCAUUGAAAAUUUCCCCUUAUUUUAUAGGCAGGCACACCCUUGAACUAUUCAGCUUUUAAACCAUGCUUUGCCAUCUGCUUAGUUCAAAUGGUUGUGUGGAUUCACCUCUCGUUAGGCUUUAUUAAGCUGGCACCAACAUAGCAUUUUCACUUCUAAACACAGGAAAAGCAACAAACAGGUGAAGAUCAACAAACACUGCAGGAAGAUUUUAAAUGACUAAUCAGAUGGAAGAAAUGUCUAAAAAGAGCAGGCAGGAAAAUGGAAUGCCAACUGUUGUAGCCACAAGCUUGAGAAGGUGAGAAUAGAUGGCUGCCUGCCAAGGAAACCUCAGGCCCUGUAAAUCCAACGUGUUAUUACAAAUAGAAGCACUGGCUCAGGCAUAAACGUGCACAUGCGUGUGCGUGCGCACACACACACACGCACACAGGGAAGCAAUGGCACAUUUUACACAGGGACCUCUGAAAACCUUCAGGGUUUUGCUGGAGAACAUGCUCACCCUAGAUUUAAGAAGAGCAGCUUUAUAGAGAAUGUUCAGUAAGGAUGGAUUUAAGAAUCAGAUUAAGGUGAAAAUGCUGAUUUCCUCACUAAAGGAUUAGUUGCCUUGUACAAGUACUUUAACCCUUUCUAAAUUUCUAGUUCCUCAGUUUUAAAACAGGAAUUAAAAUCAGCCCUUCCCUACAUUCAGGGUUGUUGUGGAGAAUUAAUGUGGGAACCCAGGAAGGGUCUUCAAACCAAACUUUCCCCUAGAGUGAGCACUUCACGCAUACUGGCAAUUAUCAGUUAACAUGAGGCCUUAGAUUUCAUGCCGCCUAUUUCCAACCAUGUCCCCCGCUCCUUUAGGGUAGUGACAGUUUCAUGUGAGCUUGCCUUGCCUUUCAAACACCCCUCUAGUUUCUCCUUCCUUGCAACCCAAUAUAAUUUAGAUACCUCUUUUCCCACAUAAGAAAGUUUUUCUUUUCCCCCUAAAAUACCUUCCUUUCUUCCUCUAAAAGCCAUCUCCCUUUCUGUCUGCUCAGCUUUAGUGCCACUGUCGAUCCUUAACUAAAAUCCAAGUACUUUCUUUUUCUGAACUUAACCUUUU